AGGUGGGGAUGACGUCAGAUCAUCAUGCCCCUUACGUCCAGGGCUUCACGCAUGCUACAAUGGCCAGUACAACGGGUUGCUUCAUGGUGACAUGGUGCUAAUCCCUUAAAACUGGUCUCAGUUCGGAUCGUAGUCUGCAACUCGACUACGUGAAGGCGGAGUCGCUAGUAAUCGCGAAUCAGCAACGUCGCGGUGAAUGCGUUCCCGGGCCUUGUACACACCGCCCGUCAAGUCAUGAAAGUGGGCAGCACCCGAAGCCGGUGGCCUAACCCUUUUGGGAUGGAGCCGUCUAAGGUGAGGCUCGUGAUUGGG
rnacentral:rRNA from 1 species